rnacentral:rRNA from 1 species
UACGGGGGGGGCAAGCGUUGUUCGGAAUUAUUGGGCGUAAAGCGCACGUAGGCGGCUUUGCAAGUCGGAUGUGAAAUCCCUCGGCUUAACCAAGGAAGUGCAUCCGAAACUGCAGAGCUUGAGUACUUAAGAGGAUCGCGGAAUUCCCGGUGUAGAGGUGAAAUGCGCAGAUAUCAGGAGGAACACCGGUGGCGAAGGCGGAUCUCUGGGCCAACACUGACGCUGAUGUGCGAAAGCUAGGGGGACGAAACGGG